rnacentral:rRNA from 1 species
UGGGGAAUUUUGGACAAUGGGCGCAAGCCUGAUCCAGCCAUGCCGCGUGAGUGAAGAAGGCCUUCGGGUUGUAAAGCUCUUUCGGUGGGGAAGAAAUUGCUUCGGUUAAUACCUGGAGUAGAUGACGGUACCCGCAUAAGAAGCACCGGCUAACUACGUGCCAGCAGCCGCGGUAAUACGUAGGGUGCGAGCGUUAAUCGGAAUUACUGGGCGUAAAGCGUGCGCAGGCGGUUGUAUAAGUCAGAUGUGA